GUGGAUACAGGUUUUUGAUUCAAAUUUUUUGAACGGGUGUGGCUAUCGCUUUGGUUGGUUUAGGGUUUUUGUACUGCAUGUGGGGUAGGCUGAUGUGUUCGGUGUUCUUGCGUGCUUAUUUUGCGUCGCUGUCACGUUGAAAUUUGAUGCUUUUACGUAUUUGAAUUGGUUGGUUUGUCUCCUGGCCGAUGUUGCCCAAUCGAUACGUCGCUUUUUUCUGUUCUUGCCGCUAUUGGUCAUGCCGCUUUCUGAUUAUCAUCGGUGUCGCUUUGGUCGUGCUUUGCGAUUUGGGUGCCGAUGGGCAGCGGCGUCUUCGUGGAGAUAUUUUGCUCGGUUUCUUCCUCCUCUCCGUUCUCUCCGCGUGUCCCGUGCUCUCUCGAUCCUCUCAUCUCUUCUCGAGGGCUCCCGUCGAAUCCGGUGCCACCGCCCACCGUCGUAGGUGACUAUAAAAAGAUCCUUCUCCCCGACGGUCCCUACCUCAACUCCUUCCCACCCCAUCCCUCUCCUCCGCCCCCGCCAUCUUCUCUCGGUGUGGCCAUAUGGCAUAUGGGAAGCGGGCAUGGAGGGCACGGCUGGGGCGGGGCCACCAGCGGCGGCCAUCUCCAUCACCGCAUCAUGAUUCCGUCUCGGAGCAGCAGCGGAGGCGAUGUCCCGGCAUCCUCUUUCCCAACCGUCGAGGAGGACUGCCGCGGCUCUUUCCAUGGGGCUUCCGAGAUGUUGACCGGGUUCUUGCACCGGCGGCUGCCUGAGAGGGACGCCCAGAGAUACAUGGCCUUGAAUUGGACCAUCACCAGCAUCUGAUCCUCUUCGUGGUGGCCAUGAGGUAGGGCGUCGUCGAGACCCAGUCCCGCAAGUUGCAGUUCACCUGAUUCGAUUGGUUCUUUAUUAUUUUGUACACAAGCAGACACGUUCCCAUGAUGAAGUUGAGUAUGUAUGCACAAGCCUCACCUUACGUGAGAGGAAUUGUGUACCAUAUGGUGUGGAUACGACUCAAGGGUCACUAUAUAUGUUGGUUAUGUAAGUGCAUAUGGACUACAAAAGUAUUACUCGACUUGUUGUUGUGAGCGUAAAAUACUGCGGGUUGGUUGUCGCAGUACAUCUUUAAUGGUUUGUGAAUACAAUCUACCACUUUCAAGUCAGGUACAAAUUUCUUUAGCCAUAUCGCCUGCCUUGUGGCUUCGAAGCAUGCUAUGAAUUUUGCAUACAUCGUGAUCGACUGUUUGGAGCUUUUCCGCGAAAUAGCUCCCCAACAAGAGUAAAGAAGUACCCUGAUAUGGAUUUUCUAUCAUCUCUGCCCCCCACAAAAUCUGCGUUUGAAUAUCUUUUUAUCUUUAGAGAAUCACUUCUCCUGUAUAUAGCAUGUAGUCCUUCUUGCCUUGUGCAUAACACAAUGCUUUCUUUAUCAUCUUCCAGUGCUCCAUGCCUGGAUUCUCUUGAUAUCUACCGAGUACCCCGGUGAUAAAAACUAAGUCAGGGCGAGUGCACACUUGUGCAUACUAUAAGCUGCCAACUGCCAAAGCAUAUGGUACUGCUUUCAUUUGAUCGAUCUCGUACUGAUUCUUGGGACAUUGGAAUUUUCCCAAAACUAUCAUCCUUAAUUAUAGGAGCUGAUGGAGCUUUACUCGCAUGCAUAUUAUACUUUUUAAGAACUUUUUCUAAAUAUGCUUUCUGCGACAAUCCUAAGACUCUAUUGUUCCUAUCUCGAUGAAUUUCUAUGCCCAAAAUAUAUGAUGCUUCACCAAGAUUUGUUAUGUCAACAAUUGAGGAUAAGAACUUCUUUGUUUCUUGUAGUAGACUAACAUCACUGCUAGCAAGCAGGAUAUCAUCCACAUACAAGAUUAGGAAAAUACAUUUCUCAAAUUUAAAUUUUGCAUAAAUCCAUUUAUCCUCAAUAUGUUCUUUAAAUCUAAAUUUUUUAAUCGUUUGAUUAAACUUUAAAUACCACUGUCUAGAGGUUUGCUUUAAUUCAUAAAUGGAUUUCUUUAGGUGGCAUCCCAUAGUUUUCUUGCCUUUCAUGAUAAAACCCUUGAGUUGUUUCAUGUAGACCUUUUCUUUUAAAUCACCAUUCAGAAAAUGCCGUCUUAACAUCCAUUUGAUGUAACUCUAGAUCAAAAUGAGCAACUAAUGCCAUUAUGAUUCUGAAGAAAUCCUUACAUGAGACUGGAGAAAAUGUCUCAUUGUAAUCUAUUCCUUCUCUUUGUGUAAAUUCUUUUGCCACGAGUCAUGCUUUAUACUUUUCUAUAUUUCUUUUGGAAUCAUACUUAAUUUUAUAGACCCAUUUACAGCCUACUGUUUUGGCUCCUUCAGAAAUUUUCUCUAAGUCCCAAACAUCUUUGGAACUCAUCGAUUUCAUCUCGUCUUCCAUUGUCUUCAUCCACAUCGAUGAAUGAGGGCUUUUCAUGGCUUCUUCAUACAAGCUUUACCUCGUUACGCAGGUAUUUUCCCAGAGUAGGUGGCGUCGUCGAGGUUCUUGCAGUCGUGAACAGGGGACCUUGGAGCUGAGCUGUUUCGGGGAUCACAGGCAGAACCGUCGACAUAGAGCUGAGAAAAAAGGCAUGUAGGGGCCCGGUGGGUGGGGGCGUUUCUGCUGGUUCGUUUUCCUCCCGAACAAAUCAUUCGGUCGAUGCCCUUGCCCUCCCAAACGAUCCGUUCGGGUAGGGGUGUCUACAGGCCGAACAGACACGCCUUUAUUGGGGUCAUUUAAUAUGCAUUUUCACGAUGGCAUUUUUAUAUUUCAUAAGGUUUUCAUAUUUUAAGAACAUGGCAAUUUUUUAACUUUCUAGCAUGCCAAAAAAUUAGUUUAUUGCCAUGACAAUUUCGAGCUUCAUUUUGGCGUGCAAUUUUUUUUUGUGAUGUCAACUUUUCUUUAUCACAACAUGGCAAAAAUUCCCUUUCAUUUUGCCUGGCAAAUUUACUUUAACAAACAUGGCAAAAAUAUCCUUUCAUUGCCAUGCAAUUUUUUUUACUCUUUUUUGCCAUGUCAAAUUUACAAUUUUUGGUCAUGGAAAAAUUCUCCUUUUAUUUGCAAUGCCAAAAUAAAGAAAAAUUAUGGAGCAUGGCAAAUUUAGCUUUCUACUUGCCAUGUCAACUUUUACUUUAUUUCGCCAUGGCAAUUUUUAACCUUCAUUGCCAUGGCAAUUUUACGGUUAAAUACUUGGCAAAUUAAUAUCUACAUACAUGGGAAAUUUUACUCUAUUUUUGCCAUGUCAUAAUUUUACUUUAUUUUCCAUGGCAAAUUUUUAACUUUAUUGCCAUGGCAACUUCAGUUUUACAUACAUGGCAAUCUUACUGGAACAUACAUGGCAAUUUUCACUGUACUUUGCCCCGUCAAAAAAUUACUAUAUUUUUUGCCAUGACAAUUUUACCUUAAAAUACUUGGCAAAUUUACAAUUUAAAUACAUGGCAAAUUUUACUCUAUUUUUGCCAUGUCAGAAUUUUACUUUAUUUUGCCAUGGAAUUUUUUUAACUUCAUUACCAUGGCAAAUUUACGUUUAAAUACAUGGCAAUUUCGCAUGGUCAAUUUUAAAUUUGUUUCAUGGCAAUUUCUCCAUGUUUUUAUUUUUUUGGCUGCGUGUAAUUAAAACACCACAGCAAUUUUCCUGUAUAAGUUUUUCUUCUCGAAUUCCAUACAAAGCAUGUCAAUUUUAAUUAAAACAUCAUGGCAAAUUUUAAUAUUUUUAAGCAUGCCAAAUUUGAGAUUUUUUUACCUUGCGCUACUUUAUUUUCGGACCACGGCAAAUUAUAUUUUUUUCGACCCUGGAAUUAGAAUUUUUCAUUAAACUUUUUGAUCAAAGACAUACCCAUUAACUGGUUUUUUAUGUGCUCACGUAGCAGGAUUUUUUGUGUUUCUAUUGUAAAAGAAGCGUCAUUUUUUGAUUUUUUUUUAAGGACUGUUUUUUGUUUAUAAAGCUGGGCCUUUUUAGCCCUUUUUUGGUUUUACGUACACGUGCUGAGGGAAGAGGCUGAGAGGGUUCGGGCUGGCCUUCCACCACACCGAACGACACAAUCAUUCGUUCCAUCGCUCCUCCCUGCCAAACCUUUCCGUUCGGACCGGGGUUCUUCCACACCGAACGGUCGGGAGUUAUUGACGUCUUAAAAAAAAGAUGUGUUCCAAAACUAUUCCGAGUUCCUAGAGAACUCUCCGAGAGCUACUCAUUUUGCUUUUGAUGUUUCGCUGUGACUAUCACUGUAUUAUCACUGUACUACCAAUAUAAAUUUAAAUUGGAUCUGAUUAUUGUUUAUCUCAAGUUAACCAAAGACA